rnacentral:rRNA from 1 species
GAGUUUGAUCGUGGCUCAGAUUGAACGCUGGCGGCAGGCCUAACACAUGCAAGUCGAGCGGUAGAGAGAAGCUUGCUUCUCUUGAGAGCGGCGGACGGGUGAGUAAUGCCUAGGAAUCUGCCUGGUAGUGGGGGAUAACGCUCGGAAACGGACGCUAAUACCGCAUACGUCCUACGGGAGAAAGCAGGGGACCUUCGGGCCUUGCGCUAUCAGAUGAGCCUAGGUCGGAUUAGCUAGUUGGUGAGGUAAUGGCUCACCAAGGCGACGAUCCGUAACUGGUCUGAGAGGAUGAUCAGUCACACUGGAACUGAGACACGGUCCAGACUCCUACGGGAGGCAGCAGUGGGGAAUAUUGGACAAUGGGCGAAAGCCUGAUCCAGCCAUGCCGCGUGUGUGAAGAAGGCCUUCGGUGUAAGACACUUUGUUGGGUAGAAAGACACUC